UCUGUCGUUCAGGACAAGAGGAACUUCCUGCGCGACCCUCCAGCCGGAGUGCAGUUCCAGUUUGACUUUGAGCAGAUGUACGCCGUGGCUCUGGUGAUGCUGCAGGAAGACGAACUGCUCAACAGGAUGCGCUUUGACCUCGUCCCCAAACAGGUGAAGGAGAAUGU